GGAGGUGGCAAGCGUUGCUCGGAUUUACUGGGUGUAAAGGGCACGUAGGCGGUCCAAUAAGCCCCGCCUGAAAUGCUCUGGCUCAACCAGAGUAAGUGGCGGGGGACUGCUGGACUUGAGGAUGAGAGAGGCGAGCGGAAUUCCCGGUGUAAGGGUGAAAUCUGUAGAGAUCGGGAGGAACACCAGUCGCGAAGGCGGCUCGCUGGCUCAUUUCUGACGCUGAGGUGCGAAAGCUAGGGGAGCAAACAGGAUUAGAUACCCUGGUAGUCCUAGCCGUAAACGAUGGACACUAGGUGUCGGCUCCGUUCAGGAGUCGGUGCCGCAGCCAACGCGUUAAGUGUCCCACCUGAGGAGUACGGCCGCAAGGUUG
rnacentral:rRNA from 1 species